UACGAAGGGGGCUAGCGUUGCUCGGAAUCACUGGGCGUAAAGGGUGCGUAGGCGGGUCUUUAAGUCAGGGGUGAAAUCCUGGAGCUCAACUCCAGAACUGCCUUUGAUACUGAAGAUCUUGAGUUCGGGAGAGGUGAGUGGAACUGCGAGUGUAGAGGUGAAAUUCGUAGAUAUUCGCAAGAACACCAGUGGCGAAGGCGGCUCACUGGCCCGAUACUGACGCUGAGGCAGAAG
rnacentral:rRNA from 1 species